rnacentral:rRNA from 1 species
GAUGAACGCUGGCGGCGUGCCUAAUACAUGCAAGUCGAGCGAACGGACGAGAAGCUUGCUUCUCUGAUGUUAGCGGCGGACGGGUGAGUAACACGUGGAUAACCUACCUAUAAGACUGGGAUAACUUCGGGAAACCGGAGCUAAUACCGGAUGAUAUUUUGAACCGCAUGGUUCAAAAGGGAAAGACGGUCUUGCUGUCACUUAUAGAUGGAUCCGCGCUGCAUUAGCUAGUUGGUAAGGUAACGGCUUACCAAGGCAACGAUGCAUAGCCGACCUGAGAGGGUGAUCGGCCACACUGGAACUGAGACACGGUCCAGACUCCUACGGGAGGCAGCAGUAGGGAAUCUUCCGCAAUGGGCGAAAGCCUGACGGAGCAACGCCGCGUGAGUGAUGAAGGUCUUCGGAUCGUAAAACUCUGUUAUUAGGGAAGAACAUAUGUGUAAGUAACUGUGCACAUCUUGACGGUACCUAAUCAGAAAGCCACGGCUAACUACGUG